UUUUUUUUUCCUUCUUUUCUUUUUCCCUUCUUCUAUCUUCUCCUUCGUUAUGCUUUCUUCUUCGUCCUAAAACUCCAUAGAAACUCCACCUCCACCUAAAACUACUACCAUCACCACUGCCGCAAACAUCAGUUUUUUGAAACACCACCAGUAUCUUCACCUGCAGCUCUCAAUCAACUGAAACACCACCAAUACUACCAAUUUCGUCUUCUCUGCCUUCUUCUACAAAUCACUUGUACUUUCUCAAUCUAAAUCUCCGUUCAUCUUCACCAAUUUCCACUCUAAAUUUCGAAUAUUCUGUACUCACUUUCGAAUUUAGAGUACAGGUUUUUGAUUUAAUUGAAUAAUUCAAUCAUCAUCUAACCUGUAACCCUAAAUACGAAAUUGGGUGAAUUGUUUCAAUUACUUUUAACUGAUAGAAUUUCUUUUGUAUGAAUCGAUUCAAUGAUUUACAGAGAAAAACCACUCAUAAUUGAUUGAAUUACUUUUGAGUUGUGAGGGAAUUAGGGUUUCUGCAAACUUUUGAUCAAUCGAAGAACAAAUUGAGGUAAGAUUAAUGACGCAUAUGACAACAAUUUGAGGUAAGAAUAACGCUGCUAAACCCUAUUAUUGCACAUAUAUUUGGUCAAAUAUGACAACAAUUGAUUUAGAACUUUUAGUAAAUUUAUUGCAUUCUCUCUUUUGUUGGUGUACGAAUGCUAUUUGAAAACCAUGUAUUUGGUCCAGUGUGUUUAUCAUAUCAUGUUGAGCAGGAUUUUGUUCUUGUUCUGAAAAUUCAGUAAGUGGGCAUCUGUGAGAUGAACUGUAUCGUGUGCAUUCUCCAGUGCUCAAUGGAAAGACCUUUGAAGGAAUUCCCAUGAUUUUGUUUUGGCAUUAUUAUAAUAUACAAUAUUAAUGCCAAAAUGUAGUUUCUUUUGUAAAAGAAAUGCAGUAAAUUUACUGGCUGUAUUUUGUUCUUGAAUUUUCAGUACACCAGUAACCUAUCAAGGUUUUAGGACAAUUGUUACAUCCUUAUCAUGUUCAUAAUGGUAUAAUGAGAUAUUGAACCAUAUACUUAGUUGUAUUUACUUCGCCUGAGCAGAGCAUUUGAAGAAUGGAUGCAUCUUGGAGAGUAUGCUAUUAUGGGUUGAAGGAAGAACUGAAUGGCUGCCGUUGUCAUCGAUCCCUGAACUGUUCACAGGAAUAUCUGCUCUUACAGAGCAACAAGAGCGCCUGAAGCUCAUACAUGACAAGCUCAAAGAGGGGAUAAACCAGCACAUCCAGGACUGCAAGAACACAUAAGAUGAUCUGCAAGCCUAUCAGAUUGAGUUAAAAGAAAAUGCCGAGAAGCAAAAUAUUUCUGCUACCAAAAUAGUUUUUGAGCAAUUGAUACCCUAAGAGGCGCUUUUAUCUGAUGUGGACUAUGUUAAGCAUAUGGAGGCAUAUUUACCUGGAUGAUGUUUAUGCCAAUUUUGUACCAAGACCAAUGGCAUCUCGAUGUUGCGGAUUGCUGGGAUAUUCAUUGUUUUCAUCUCCAUUCUCCAGUUCUGUUGGUUUUUCCUUAUGGAAAUAAUUUGAAUUCAUUUAUUUUCCAGGCUUUUUUAUCUAUUCCCCCUUUGUUUUUUCCCCCGAAAAAUUGUAUGUGUUCCGAUCAUCUCUUGUUGUUAUUUCUUUUUCAGCAUAGAGCUCCUACACUGGGAUCCUCUCCACGAAGAAUCUGGAACUCUCUUAUGUUUGUUUACGGAUCACUUCCAGCAAAUGGAGGCAUAUUUAACAAGUAUGACGCUGAAGUUAAUUUUGAUUCAAUUACGUAGUAGUGUCGUUUCGUCAAGUUCUUCGGUCGUCCCUCCCAUCGUGACAACGGUUGUACUAGUAUUGAUUAACUAACCUAAUUACUAUUAAUGAACGGAUUAAACUAAUUAAGUAA